rnacentral:rRNA from 1 species
UUGAUCCUGGCUCAGGAUGAACGCUAGCGGCAGGCUUAACACAUGCAAGUCGAGGGGCAGCGGGGAGGAAGCUUGCUUUCUCCGCCGGCGACCGGCGCACGGGUGAGUAACACGUAUGCAACCUGCCCCUGUCAGGGGGACAACCCGCCGAAAGGCGGGCUAAACCCGCGUACAUGCCACCGGGGCAUCCCGGAGGCAGGAAAGGCUUCGGCCGGACAGGGAUGGGCAUGCGGCGCAUUAGGCAGUAGGCGGGGUAACGGCCCACCUAACCGACGAUGCGUAGGGGUUCUGAGAGGAAGGUCCCCCACACUGGUACUGAGACACGGACCAGACUCCUACGGGAGGCAGCAGUGAGGAAUAUUGGUCAAUGGUCGGGAGACUGAACCAGCCAAGCCGCGUGAGGGAGGAAGGUACAGAGUAUCGUAAACCUCUUUUGUCAGGGAACAAAGACUGGGACGCGUCCCCGGAUGAGUGUACCUGAAGAAAAAGCAUCGGCUAACUCCGUGCCAGCAGCCGCGGUAAUACGGAGGAUGCGAGCGUUAUCCGGAUUUAUUGGGUUUAAAGGGUGCGCAGGCGGUCUGUUAAGUCAGCGGUCAAAGCCCGGGGCUCAACCCCGGCCCGCCGUUGAAACUGGCAGUCUCGAGUUGGAGAGAAGUAUGCGGAAUGCGCGGUGUAGCGGUGAAAUGCAUAGAUACCGCGCAGAACUCCGAUUGCGAAGGCAGCAUGCCGGCUCCACACUGACGCUGAGGCACGAAAGCGUGGGUAUCGAACAGGAUUAGAUACCCUGGUAGUCCACGCAGUAAACGAUGAAUGCUGGCUGUCCGGGGGGACUGACCCCUGGGUGGCGAAGCGAAAGCGAUAAGCAUUCCACCUGGGGAGUACGCCGGCAACGGUGAAACUCAAAGGAAUUGACGGGGGCCCGCACAAGUGGAGGAACAUGUGGUUUAAUUUGAUGAUACGCGAGGAACCUUACCCGGGCUCAAACGGGGAGUGGCGCAGGCAGAGACGCCUGUUUUCCACGGGACACUCCCUGAGGUGCUGCAUGGUUGUCGUCAGCUCGUGCCGUGAGGUGUCGGCUUAAGUGCCAUAACGAGCGCAACCCCCGCGUGCAGUUGCUAACAGUCAACGCUGAGGACUCUGCACGGACUGCCGGCGCAAGCCGCGAGGAAGGCGGGGAUGACGUCAAAUCAGCACGGCCCUUACGUCCGGGGCGACACACGUGUUACAAUGGGUGGUACAGCGGGAAGCCAGGCGGCGACGCCGAGCGGAACCCGAAAUCCACUCUCAGUUCGGAUCGGAGUCUGCAACCCGACUCCGUGAAGCUGGAUUCGCUAGUAAUCGCGCAUCAGCCAUGGCGCGGUGAAUACGUUCCCGGGCCUUGUACACACCGCCCGUCAAGCCAUGGGAGCCGAGGGCGCUUGAAGUGCGUCGCCGCGAGGCGCGCCCUAGAGCGAAAUCGGUGACUGGGGAUAAGUCGUAACAAGGUAGCCGU